ACAGGACAUGUUGGAAGCCACCCAAGCUGG
rnacentral:piRNA from 1 species